GAUGAACGCUGGCGGCGUGCCUAAUACAUGCAAGUCGAGCGAACAGACGAGGAGCUUGCUCCUCUGACGUUAGCGGCGGACGGGUGAGUAACACGUGGAUAACCUACCUAUAAGACUGGGAUAACUUCGGGAAACCGGAACUAAUACCGGAUAAUAUAUUGAACCGCAUGGUUCAAUAGUGAAAGACGGUUUAGCUGUCACUUAUAGAUGGAUCCGCGCCGCAUUAGCUAGUUGGUAAGGUAACGGCUUACCAAGGCAACGAUGCGUAGCCGACCUGAGAGGGUGAUCGGCCACACUGGAACUGAGACACGGACCAGACUCCUACGGGAGGCAGCAGUAGGGAAUCUUACGCAAUGGGCGAAAGCCUGACGGAGCAACGCCGCGUGAGUGAUGAAGGUCUUCGGAUCGUAAAACUCUGUUAUUAGGGAAGAACAAAUGUGUAAGUAACUAUGCACGUAUUGACGGUACCUAAUCAGAAAGCCACGGCUAACUACGUG
rnacentral:rRNA from 1 species